AACGAACGCUGGCGGCAGGCCUAACACAUGCAAGUCGAACGCCGUAGCAAUACGGAGUGGCAGACGGGUGAGUAACGCGUGGGAACCUUCCCAAUGGUACGGAAUAGCUCAGGGAAACUUGGGGUAAUACCGUAUAAGCCCGAGAGGGGAAAGAUUUAUCGCCAUUGGAUGGGCCCGCGUAGGAUUAGCUAGUUGGUGAGGUAACGGCUCACCAAGGCGACGAUCCUUAGCUGGUCUGAGAGGACGACCAGCCACACUGGGACUGAGACACGGCCCAGACUCCUACGGGAGGCAGCAGUGGGGAAUAUUGGACAAUGGGCGCAAGCCUGAUCCAGCCAUGCCGCGUGAGUGAUGAAGGCCUUAGGGUUGUAAAGCUCUUUUGGCGGGACGAUAAUGACGGUACCCGCAGAAUAAGCCCCGGCUAACUUCGUGCCAGCAGCCG
rnacentral:rRNA from 1 species